GAUUGAAGGCUGAUUGAGUUUGUUUGGUCGGAAGGGACGGAGAGAGAGAGAGAGAGAUAGAUAGAGAGAGAGAGAGAUGAAUCCUCUGACGCUGGUGAAGCGGACGCAGAAGAUCAAUUCGAGGGAGGCGGCUUUAGGGAUAUCGGACGAGGCGUCUUGGCAUGCCGAGUACAAGGACUCCGCCUACAUCUUCGUCGGCGGCAUCCCCUUCGACCUCACCGAAGGCGACCUCCUCGCCGUCUUCGCCCAAUAUGGGGAGAUCGUUGAUGUUAAUCUUGUUAGGGAUAAGAGUACUGGAAAGUCAAAAGGAUUUGCUUUCCUUGCAUAUGAGGACCAAAGGAGUACAAUUCUUGCUGUAGAUAAUCUAAAUGGGGCUAAAAUUCUUGGUCGAAUUGUAAGAGUUGAUCAUGUUAGUAAUUACAAAAAGAAAGAGGAAGAAGAUGAAGAGAAAGAGCAACAGAGGAGAGAGGCUCGAGGUGUAUGUCGUGCGUACCAACGUGGUGAUUGCCAUCGAGGAGCUUCAUGCAAGUUUUCUCAUGAUGAGCAGAGAUGUGCAAACACAGGUUGGGGACCCAAGGAUAAUGCAAGAUGGGACCAUGACAUAUAUGAUCUCCCAAAGGGUAACAAAAAGCCCCUUCAUAAUGCUUUAGAACAGAAGCAGCAGCAUAGAGGAGAAAAACAAGAUUCACCAUCUAGGUCUGCAAAUAAAGAUGACCGGCCUUUGAGAUCAGAGGCAAAAUGGGUACGCGAGACAAUUGCAGAGAGACCAAGGCAUGAAAGAAAAUCAAGAUAUGAUGCGGAGCACUCUGAGAGGCGCAAAUUAGAGAGAGAUCAAGAGGAUGAUCUUUUGAAACAUGGAUACGCCAAACGAUCAACGUGCGAUGGUGAUUCUACUUCUCGCUAUCACAAAAUGGAAGAUGAUGAGCAUCAGAGGAGGAGGACAGAAAGAUAAAGCAGAUGGAGUAAUCAAAGGAUGUUGUCUGUGUUUUGAGUCUCUCUAUUGCUCCUGGUAAACUCUUAGAAAGACUGAGAAGCUAUUGUGAGGUUAAAUUUGCUGAUCUGGGCUUUACAACCAAAUGCAUUCUGUAGACUGGGAUAAAUUCUACAAAGCAAACUAAAAAUAUUCUGGAUAGCUUGUUGGACCGAGGAACCAGGUGAUUUAUCAGAAUCUAGAAAAAUGGUUUACAGGCCCUCUAUGCUGCGUGGUCGUAUACAUUUCCAUGCUACUCAUUAACCUCUUUAUGUCAUUGCCUUUUGAGUACAUAAGAGAUUUUUGAACAUGAUACUGAUGCUUCCAGUUAGUCCUUCGCAGAAGUGAGGAGUGCUCAUCGACUUUCAUCUUUGAGCAGAUUUCGGUUUUCUCUAAAAUGCAUGAGCACACAAAAGAGCAUGAAAUGUUUCUCUUGCGAUUUUAUCUGAUGCACCAGAUAUUAUGAUUCGUCGAUUCCCUUGGGGGCACUGCACCAUUCAUCUCAUUCUCCAGAAACCAACAAUUUUUUGUUUUUGGAUAAAAGAUGCAUCAUAUUUAUUAGCAGCAGAGAUUGGAACAGAAGACAGCUUCUGCAGCUCCCAUAUCAGCAU